UGCAAGUCGUACGCACUGGCCCAACUGAUUGAUGGUGCUUGCACCUGAUUGACGAUGGAUCACCAGUGAGUGGCGGACGGGUGAGUAACACGUAGGUAACCUGCCCCGGAGCGGGGGAUAACAUUUGGAAACAGAUGCUAAUACCGCAUAACAACAAAAGCCACAUGGCUUUUGUUUGAAAGAUGGCUUUGGCUAUCACUCUGGGAUGGACCUGCGGUGCAUUAGCUAGUUGGUAAGGUAACGGCUUACCAAGGCGAUGAUGCAUAGCCGAGUUGAGAGACUGAUCGGCCACAAUGGAACUGAGACACGGUCCAUACUCCUACGGGAGGCAGCAGUAGGGAAUCUUCCACAAUGGGCGCAAGCCUGAUGGAGCAACACCGCGUGAGUGAAGAAGGGUUUCGGCUCGUAAAGCUCUGUUGUUGGAGAAGAACGUGCGUGAGAGUAACUGUUCACGCAGUGACGGUAUCCAACCAGAAAGUCACGGCUAACUACGUGCCAGCAGCCGCGGUAAUACGUAGGUGGCAAGCGUUAUCCGGAUUUAUUGGGCGUAAAGCGAGCGCAGGCGGUUGCUUAGGUCUGAUGUGAAAGCCUUCGGCUUAACCGAAGAAGUGCAUCGGAAACCGGGCGACUUGAGUGCAGAAGAGGACAGUGGAACUCCAUGUGUAGCGGUGGAAUGCGUAGAUAUAUGGAAGAACACCAGUGGCGAAGGCGGCUGUCUGGUCUGCAACUGACGCUGAGGCUCGAAAGCAUGGGUAGCGAACAGGAUUAGAUACCCUGGUAGUCCAUGCCGUAAACGAUGAGUGCUAGGUGUUGGAGGGUUUCCGCCCUUCAGUGCCGGAGCUAACGCAUUAAGCACUCCGCCUGGGGAGUACGACCGCAAGGUUGAAACUCAAAGGAAUUGACGGGGGCCCGCACAAGCGGUGGAGCAUGUGGUUUAAUUCGAAGCUACGCGAAGAACCUUACCAGGUCUUGACAUCUUGCGCUAACCUUAGAGAUAAGGCGUUCCCUUCGGGGACGCAAUGACAGGUGGUGCAUGGUCGUCGUCAGCUCGUGUCGUGAGAUGUUGGGUUAAGUCCCGCAACGAGCGCAACCCUUGUUACUAGUUGCCAGCAUUAAGUUGGGCACUCUAGUGAGACUGCCGGUGACAAACCGGAGGAAGGUGGGGACGACGUCAGAUCAUCAUGCCCCUUAUGACCUGGGCUACACACGUGCUACAAUGGACGGUACAACGAGUCGCAAGCUCGCGAGAGUAAGCUAAUCUCUUAAAGCCGUUCUCAGUUCGGACUGUAGGCUGCAACUCGCCUACACGAAGUCGGAAUCGCUAGUAAUCGCGGAUCAGCAUGCCGCGGUGAAUACGUUCCCGGGCCUUGUACACACCGCCCGUCACACCAUGGGAGUUUGUAACGCCCAAAGUCGGUGGCCUAACCUUUAUGGAGGGAGCCGCCU
rnacentral:rRNA from 1 species